rnacentral:ncRNA from 1 species
AAGGAAGCCCGGGGAGGCCAAGAUCUCACCGGAGGAGAAGGUGACAUCUCCCGAACCAGGCGACCCAGCACGGAACCCCGGCACCCACGCGGAGCACAUGCCGCGGAAUAGGCAAAAGUGUUGCGGGCCUGCGUAAUUGCGAAAAGCGAACGACAUGGCGACUCCUUGGGCGGAGAAGUCGGUCGAGGCGCAUCGCAACGACGCCGAGGCCGCCCCACGCAACCCCAUCAGCACGCAUGGUAACCGGGGCCCGUGCUAGCGGGCGGCGAGCCGAACUCGGAUCGGGUCGUCGCCCGCUUUUGCGU